ACACCACGACGAGAGCAUGCAGGCUCCGAGCGGGGCUGGAGCCGGCUGGCAAGGGCCGGCACAGGUUAUGCAGCUCCUGGUAAACCUGUGGGACUCCC
rnacentral:ncRNA from 2 species